GGACUACCGGGGUUUCUAAUCCCGUUUGCUCCCCUGGCUUUCGCGCCUCAGCGUCAGAAAAGGUCCAGCAGUACGCUUUCGCCACCGGCGUUCCUUCCGAUAUCAACGCAUUUCACCGCUCCACCGGAAGUUCCUACUGCCCCUACCCCCCUCAAGACUACCAGUAUCCAAGGCACUUCCCCAGUUAAGCUGGGGGCUUUCACCCCGGACUUGGUAACCCGCCUACGCGCCCUUUAAGCCCAGUGAUUCCGAACAACGUUCGCACGGUUCGUCUUACCGCGGCGGCUGGCAC
rnacentral:rRNA from 1 species